AUUGAACGCUGGCGGCAGGCCUAACACAUGCAAGUCGAGCGGUUGACGGGAGCUUGCUCCCUGAUUCAGCGGCGGACGGGUGAGUAAUGCCUAGGAAUCUGCCUAUUAGUGGGGGACAACGUUUCGAAAGGAACGCUAAUACCGCAUACGUCCCACGGGAGAAAGCAGGGGACCUUCGGGCCUUGCGCUAAUAGAUGAGCCUAGUUCGGAUUAGCUUGUUGGUGAGGUAAUGGCUCACCAAGGCGACGAUCCGUAACUGGUCUGAGAGGAUGAUCAGUCACACUGGAACUGAGACACGGUCCAGACUCCUACGGGAGGCAGCAGUGGGGAAUAUUGGACAAUGGGCGAAAGCCUGAUCCAACCAUGCCGCGUGUGUGAAGGAGGUCUUCGGAUUGUAAAGCACUUUAAGUUGGGAGGAAGGGUUGUAGAUUAAUACUCUGCAAUUUUGACGUUACCGACAGAAUAAGCACCGGCUAACUCUGUGCCAGCAGCCGCCGCCG
rnacentral:rRNA from 1 species